GAUGAACGCUGGCGGCGUGCCUAAUACAUGCAAGUCGAGCGAACAGACGAGGAGCUUGCUCCUCUGACGUUAGCGGCGGACGGGUGAGUAACACGUGGAUAACCUACCUAUAAGACUGGGAUAACUUCGGGAAACCGGAGCUAAUACCGGAUAAUAUAUUGAACCGCAUGGUUCAAUAGUGAAAGACGGUUUUGCUGUCACUUAUAGAUGGAUCCGCGCCGCAUUAGCUAGUUGGUAAGGUAACGGCUUACCAAGGCAACGAUGCGUAGCCGACCUGAGAGGGUGAUCGGCCACACUGGAACUGAGACACGGUCCAGACUCCGACGGGAGGCAGCAGUAGGGAAUCUUCCGCAAUGGGCGAAAGCUUGACGGAGCAACGCCGCGUGAGUGAUGAAGGUCUUCGGAUCGUAAAACUCUGUUAUUAGGGAAGAACAAAUGUGUAAGUAACUAUGCACGUCUUGACGGUACCUAAGCAGAAAGCCACGGCUAACUACGU
rnacentral:rRNA from 1 species